rnacentral:rRNA from 1 species
UUGACCUCGGAUCAGGUAGGGAUACCCGCUGAACUUAAGCAUAUCAAUAAGCGGAGGAAAAGAAACCAACAGGGAUUGCCUCAGUAACGGCGAGUGAAGCGGCAAGAGCUCAAAUUUGAAAGCUGGCUCCUUCGGGGUCCGCAUUGUAAUUUGCAGAGGAUGUUUCGGAAGCAGCCCCCAUCUA